GGUCUGAUGGUGUAGCGGCAACACGCCUGCUUGUCUUAAAAUAGCAUACGGGUGCAAAUGUUUCAGCGGGAGAAACCUUGUUCAAUUCAAGGCUAGGCCG